AUACCUUGCAUUAUGUAAAUGAUUAAAAUAGCGAUAUACAAACGUAUCAUUAUGUCAACAGUACAAAGUUAGUGAAUUGUAAUUUAUUGGCUUUGCAAUCGAAGGUGUACUAGGCCAAACAUACAUAAAAUUACUAGGUAUAAUCAUGAAGUUCGUUCGGUACUCUUCAAACUAUUAUAGUCAAUAUCACAGACGUAAAUUGGCGAACUCCGAA
rnacentral:lncRNA from 1 species